rnacentral:lncRNA from 1 species
CCGGCUUCCGCACCUUUCAAUUUCUGCUGGAUGGCAUAGCGCGCCUUCCGCUCCUGGUCGAGUUCGUUACACAGGGUAUCUGGAAGACAAGGGGAGGGGCCAGUGAGGAAACGCAGACCACCCUCCGAAAGGCCGGGGUCACAGCCCGGGCUUCCUCCUCUCCCCAGGGCUAAGCUCCGCGCAGAAACAACUCCAGGGAUGGGGGAGGGGGUACCGGAGCUCCUAACUGCAGACUGGCGGAGGAAGGAAAUGGCCUGGGAUGGCGCUUAAAGGCAGACGGAUCUAACCAAAAUUAAAGCAAACUUAGGCAUUACUUCCCAGGACUUGGCUGGGAGAUACUCCUUUGGUCUGGAUAGGAUUUCCUCGUUUCCAAAUCAUCGGCGGGCGAGUGAUUGUCUUCCUUAUCUGGCUCUUGAAGGCAAUAAACCGAGUUUCAAGGAGAGGCAAAGAAACCGUGACCCGGAUACUGCCGGAGCUGCCGCGGUCGGGGCGCCCGAGCCCUAAUUAAAAGCGUCGUGGCCGCCUCUGGUUCCCGGCUGUGCGCCCAGGAGCGCGCCCUGAGGCUUUGGGCCGGGCACCCCCCACCCCCGCGCCUGGUCUGCUCAUCUCCGGGCUUCAGGCCCCCGCCCCAGCCCCUUGGAAAAGAGCAAGGCGAGCAGCCGAGCCCACCAGGGACGAGCGACCUACAUCGCGCGCAGAUACUGGGGCACCGCGAGCGCGCGUGGCCGCCGGGUCUGUCCGCCCGACUCCUGCCGAGAACGCGGCCCAGGCUGCGACCUUCGGGGUGGGUGGGGGGACAUCGUCCGGGGUUCGGCUGCCUAGACCUGCCCGAUUUUCCGCUGCCCCCAACCCCUCCUCUGUGAGGAACCUGGUAAGGCGCGCAAGUGCAGGGCGGCCCCCACCACCCCGCGUUGGGCCUCAGCUACCCUGGCGUUUCUGGGGUACCCAAGUGCGCGGCCAUGUGCCCCCAUCCUCCGCCCCGAUC